rnacentral:rRNA from 1 species
AGUGAACGCUGGCGGCAGGCCUAACACAUGCAAGUCGAACGGCAGCACAGUAAGAGCUUGCUCUUACGGGUGGCGAGUGGCGGACGGGUGAGGAAUACAUCGGAAUCUACUUUUUCGUGGGGGAUAACGUAGGGAAACUUACGCUAAUACCGCAUACGACCUACCGGUGAAAGCAGUGGAUCUUCGCACCUUGCGCGAUUGAAUGAGCCGAUGGCGGAUUAGGUAGUUGGCGGGGUAAAGGCCCACCAUGGCGACGAUCCGUAGCUGGUCUGAGAGGAUGGUCAGCCAAACUGGAACUGAAACACGGUCCAGACUCCUAAGGGAGGGAGCAGUGGGGAAUAUUGGACAAUGGGGGCAAGCCUGAUCCAGCCAUACCGCGUGGGUGAAGAAGGCCUUCGGGUUGGAAAGCCCUUUUGUUGGGAAAGAAAAGCAGCAGGUUAAUACCCCGCUGUUCUGACGGUACCCAAAGAAUAAGCACCGGCUAACUUCGUG